rnacentral:rRNA from 1 species
CUCACAAGAGGUAUCGGGAAAGUUUUUCGCUAUAGGAUGAGGCUGCGGCCUAUCAGCUAGUUGGGGAGGUAACGGCUCACCAAGGCUAUGACGGGUGGCUGGUCUGAGAGGAUGAUCAGCCACACUGGAACUGAGACACGGUCCAGACUCCUACGGGAGGCAGCAGUGGGGAAUUUUACACAAUGGGCGAAAGCCUGAUGUAGCAACGCCGCGUGGAGGAUGACGGAUUUAGGUCUGUAAACUCCUUUUAUAGGGGAAGAAAUUUGACGGUACCCUAUGAAUAAGCGCCGGCUAACUCCGUGCCAGCAGCCGCGGUAAUACGGGGGGCGCAAGCGUUACUCGGAAUCACUGGGCGUAAAGGGAGCGUAGGCGUUCUAUUAAGUCCCGAGUGAAAUCCCGCAGCCUAACUGCGGAACUGCUCGGGAAACUGAUAGAAUAGAGUAUGGAAGAGGUAGGUGGAAUUUCCAGUGUAGGGGUAAAAUCCGUAGAUAUUGGAAGGAAUACCAGAAGCGA